rnacentral:lncRNA from 1 species
AGUCGGGAAUCUGGAAGCCGUAAGAAGAAACAAGUACCGACAGCUAAGAUAUAUUUUUUCCCUCUGACUCCUCGAUUGCAGAGGCUAUAUGCAUCUAAAACUACAGCAUGAGAAAUGCAUUGGCAUGCGUUCUUCACCAGAUGAUGGGGUUAUGCGUCAUCCUGCAGAUUCUCUAGCAUGGAAGCACUUAAACAUAAUUUUUCCUGAAUUUGCAUCAGAGUGGUGAAAUGUGAGACUAGGUCUUUCAACAGAUGGUUUUCAACCCUUUGGGCAAUCAGGAAAGCAAUAUUCAUCAUGGCCGGUUAUACUUACACCCUAUAAUUUGCCUCCUUGGUUGUGUAUGAAAGAACAAUUUAUGUUCCUAACAGUUUUAGUGCCUGGUCCACAGA